rnacentral:lncRNA from 1 species
AUUUAGAAUCAAGCAUGCUGCAAUUGAAAUCCUUCGUUGUAGAGUAAGCCAAGCGAGGCAACAAACCUGCCAGCCAUGAUUUUUUGUAACUCCAUUGAGUGGCAUUUUCGGUGUCCCAGUUCCAAUAAAACCAGCCCCAUGUUUUGUCAAAUGUUUCAAUUUGUGAAGUAGCUAAAGCAUAUAGAAACUUUCGAUAAGAAUCCUCGUAAUUUUCGGGGUCCUGAUUUGCGAAGUCGCAACGACAACCAACUUUUUCAGAACAACUGGCAACACCUCCAUUAGGAGUAAAAGUGCCGUCCCAUCGAGCACCCUCUCCAACAUUAUUUAAAAACUUAGCACAAUCUGUAUCCGCAAGGCUCCACUCUCCUAUAAUCGUCGGUAAUUUGGCCUUUAACUUCAUUUCUUCGUUCCAUGACUUACAUAUCACAUUAAGUUUAUCUUUUGGCCUCAAACCAAUUAAGAAAUCAUUAAAAAUGAUAUACCUAUGUACAUCGAUAAGUAUGUUUGGGAAGUGAAAUGGAUCAAAAUGAUCUUCCCAAUUACCUGGACCACGAAAUCCAUCACUAAGUGAUAUUAGACCUGUAAAAUUAGAUUGGCGAAUUACCGCAUAGGCUUGCUUAUGCCAAUCAGUAAUUUUGUGCUCAUCAAGAACGAAGAAAUUUGGUUCGUUAAGUGCACCGUAUAUUGUAACGACAUUUCUAUACCGUUUCUGAGAGAAAAAAGAAGCAAGUCUUUCAUGAAUUUUUAGUGUGAAUUGAGAAUUUUCCUCGCCUUUCACUGUGCCAUCCAACCACUCCAUUUGAUUCAAAUAUCCACCGUGAUUCCAAGAGUUUUGGUUACCAGGUGCGGCGUGUAAAUCAAGAUUAACUCUUAAUCCUUGCUCACGAGCCCAUUCGAUAGAUCUAAGUAGAUAUCUCCACCCAAUACCCGAGACAUUAGUUAUUUCAUUACUGUAAAGAAUCCAAUAUGGAAAGGUAAUCCGAACAUGAUCCAAACCUGCUUCCCUAAUUUCGUAAAAUGUUUGUUUCGUGACAAAUGUAUUGUAAUGGUUCUCAAUAACGCUGGUGGCAUUUUCCCCCAAAUAUGCGUGUAGACUCAAUUCAUCUUUUACUAAGUAUGCAGUUUCAUUUUUCACUUGGAAAAAAGAUGGAGUAAUAAAUGGUUCCAUUGAAAGCCAUCCACCUAGAUUUACACCUCUAAUGGGAAGUCGACCGUACGGAAAAGGCUCGUUCAAAGGAGGGACAUUAGGAUUUGCCUGAACGGAAUCAUCAUAUUUAUCAAAUAUUCCCAUUGUAUAUAAUCCAGCGAACGUUUCGUUCGUAAAACUUGUAUUGAAAUCAGAUGUAUCAAGCCAAGUAUUGGUGUCCAAAAGCGAGUUUUUAGCCCAUUCAGGUACUUGAGUGGAAUUAAAUAUCUCAUCAAUUAUAUUUACGCCUAAAUUAGUGGUUUCCAUAUUUGUGUCUUUAAUUUUUCGAUCUGACUGAGCGUGAGGAAUAAUAACUAAAAAUAUAAGAGGAAGAAUAAUUGACAGGAAAACACAUAGGGAAACAAAAAAUGUAAGGAGGAUAGUAAUAAGAAGAGCCUUCUUGUCAAUUUCUCUACACCUUUUAGAUGUAAAGUCAUCAACACCGAGUGAUUUAGAGUCACAAGAUGACUCAGCUUCUAAAAGAUUGCUCAUAUUUUAUCAAUAAAAAGAAAGAAAGAUAUUUUGAUCCAAUUAUUAAAAGAAG